rnacentral:piRNA from 1 species
UGCAGUAGAUCAAGAGUUCAUCCUUG